GGCGGUUUGGGAAUGGCCUGCGUAUGAUUAGCUAGUUGGUGAGGUAAUGGCUCACCAAGGCGACGAUCAUUAGCUGGUUUGAGAGGAUGAUCAGCCAGACUGGGACUGAGACACGGCCCAGACUCCUACGGGAGGCAGCAGUAGGGAAUUUUCCACAAUGGGCGAAAGCCUGAUGGAGCAACGCCGCGUGCAGGAUGAAGGCCUUCGGGUUGUAAACUGCUUUUAUAUGUGAAGAUUAUGACGGUAGCAUAUGAAUAAGGAUCGGCUAACUCCGUGCCAGCAGCCGCGGUCAUACGGAGGAUCCAAGCGUUAUCCGGAAUUACUGGGCGUAAAGAGUUGCGUAGGCGGCAUAGUAAGUAGGUAGUGAAAGCCUGGGGCUCAACCCCUUCAACAUUACCUAAACUGCUAAGCUUGAAUCUAGAAGAGGUCACUGGAAUUCCUUGUGUAGGAGUGAAAUCCGUAGAUAUAAGGAGGAACACCGAUGGCGUAGGCAGGUGACUGGUCUAGUAUUGACGCUAAGGCACGAAAGCGUGGGUAGCAAACGGGAUUAGAUACCCCGGUAGUCCACGCCGUAAACUAUGGAUGCUAGCUGUUAGGAGUAUCGACCCUCCUAGUAGCGAAGCUAACGCGUUAAGCAUCCCGCCUGUGGAGUACGAGCGCAAGCUU
rnacentral:rRNA from 1 species